UACGUAGGGUGCGAGCGUUAAUCGGAAUUACUGGGCGUAAAGCGUGCGUAGGCGGUUCGCUGUGUCCGAUGUGAAAGCCCCGGGCUUAACCUGGGAAUGGCAUUGGAAACUGGCGGGCUUGAGUGCGGCAGAGGGGGGGGUGGAAUUCCGCGUGUAGCAGUGAAAUGCGUAGAGAUGCGGAGGAACACCGAUGGCGAAGGCAGCCCCCUGGGUCGACACUGACGCUCAGGCACGAAAGCGUGGGGAGC
rnacentral:rRNA from 1 species